rnacentral:rRNA from 1 species
GACGAACGCUGGCGGCGUGCUUAACACAUGCAAGUCGAACGGGCCCGCUCUCUUUUUUGGGGGUGGGUUGAGUGACGAACGGGUGAGUAUCACGUGAGUAACCUGCCCCCUGCUCCUGGAUAACUGCUUGAAAGGGCGGCUAAUACGGGGUGUGCCGGCUGGUCCGCAUGGGCCUGGUCGGGGUAGUUUCAUCUUCGGGUGUUUCGGUGGGGGAUGGGCUCGCGGCCUAUCAGCUUGUUGGUGGGGUGAUGGCCCACCAAGGCGGUGACGGGUAGCCGGCCUGAGAGGGUGGGCGGCCACACUGGGAGUGAGACACGGCCCAGACUCCUGCGGGAGGAGGCAGUGGGGGGGAUUGCACAAUGGGCGGAAGCCUGAUGCAGCGCCGUCGCGUGAGGGAUGGAGGCCUUCGGGUUGUGAACCUCUUUCUCCGGGGGUGAAGGCCCUGUCCGUUGCGGCGGGGUUGACGGUAGCCGGGUAUGAAGCGCCGGCUAACUACGUG